GCAACUUACCAGCUGUCAUGGCGCCUCACUGUUGUGUGCCCAAAUGUUCGUCCUCAAAGAGAAAAAAAAUCCUACCGUGGACAGACUUUCCACCGUUUCCCCAAAGAGCAGGCACUUCGCCGUGGAUGUAUAAAUCACAUCUAGAGGGGUCCUGGUCCAUAUUUCAAGAUCAACGCUGAGACCAAGGUUUGCUCUGAGCACUUUGAGAAGCAGUGUUUUGUAAAGACCACCCGUGUUAUCACAAAGCUUAUAAAGGAUGCUGUGCCAACUUUCGCCUGGACUUCAGAGAGGCCAAAGAGGAGAAUCAUCAUUCGCAGACCGAGAGAUGAUGACCCAUUCCUGAAGUUGGACGCCAGAAUGCAGGAAGGUGCUGUUUAAGAGCCUAGGCGGUGGAAGAAGCACUUGCAGGUAUGCUACCGACCAGGCUCCUCAACACCAAUCCGAGACGGAAGAUGAAACGGGAUGAAGCAGUUAGAUUGAGACAAGGCGGCCGGAAACUUUGAUGACCUCAAUGACACUGGCUAGGUGAAGGACAUCAACAAAAUGGCAUCAGGUCACCAGACAUCAGCUCAUAAUCCACAACAUCAUCAACCAUUUUGCGCCAAAAAUGAAGCCGUUCACAUACCAUGGCAUCCUAAGCAGGCAGCACUACACUACUAUGCAACAGUGAGAGAGAGCGGGCAAGGACAAGUAAAGCGGACCUACACUACAGCAAGACUUUGACACUUCUCCACGUUCGAG